GCUGGCGGCGCGCUUACACAUGCAAGUCGAGCGAGAAAGCCCCUUCGGGGUGUGAGUACAGCGGCGCACGGGUGAGUAACACGUGGACAAUCUACCUCGAAGUGGGGGAUAACUUCGCGAAAGUGGGGCUAAUACCGCAUAAUCUUCUUUUGCCGAGGUGAAAGGAGGAAAGGUUUACCGCUUUGAGAUGAGUCUGCGGCCCAUCAGCUAGUUGGUAGGGUAACGGCCUACCAAGGCUACGACGGGUAGCUGGUCUGAGAGGAUGAUCAGCCACACUGGCACUGAGAUACGGGCCAGACUCCUACGGGAGGCAGCAGUGGGGAAUCUUGCGCAAUGGGGGAAACCCUGACGCAGCGACGCCGCGUGGGUGAAGAAGGCCUUCGGGUUGUAAAGCCCUGUCGCAGAGGAAGAAAAGGCAACUUGACGGUACUCUGUGAGAAAGCACAGGCAAACUUCGUGCCAGCAGCCGCGGUAAUACGAAGGUCCCAAGCGUUGUUCGGAAUUACUGGGCGUAAAGAGUCUGUAGGCGGUUAGGUAAGUCAGAUGUGAAAUCCCGGGGCUCAACCCCGGAACUGCAUCCGAUACUGCCUGACUAGAGUGUUGGAGGGGGAUCUGGAAUUCUCGGUGUAGCAGUGAAAUGCGUAGAUAUCGAGAGGAACACUAGUGGCGAAGGCGAGAUCCUGGACAACCACUGACGCUGAGAGACGAAGGCCAGGGUAGCGAAGAGGAUUAGAUACCCUCGUAGUCCUGGCAGUAAACGUUGCACGCUUGGUGUGGGAGGAUUCGACCCCUUCCGUGCCGGAGCUAACGCGUUAAGCGUGCCGCCUGGGGAGUACGGUCGCAAGAUUAAAACUCAAAGAAAUUGACGGGGACCCGCACAAGCGGUGGAGCAUGUGGCUUAAUUCGAUGCAACGCGAAGAACCUUACCUGGGCUUGACAUGUUAGUCGUAGACUUAUGAAAGUUUGUCGUCACUUCGGGUGGACUAUCACAGGUGCUGCAUGGCUGUCGUCAGCUCGUGUCGUGAGAUGUCAGGUUAAGUCCUAUAACGAGCGCAACCCCUAUGAACUGUUGCCAGCGGAUAAUGCCGGGGACUCUGUUCAGACUGCCCAGAUUAACUGGGAGGAAGGAGGGGAUGACGUCAAGUCAGUAUGGCCCUUACGCCCAGGGCUGCACACGUGCUACAAUGUCCAGUACAGUGUGAACCGAUACCGCGAGGUGGAGGGAAUCCUCAAAACUGGGCUCAGUUCGGAUUGUAGUCUGCAACUCGACUACAUGAAGUUGGAAUCGCUAGUAAUGGCUCAUCAGCUACGGAGCCGUGAAUACGUUCCCGGGUCUUGUACACACCGCGUCACAUCAUGGAAGCCGCUCGCACCCGAAGU
rnacentral:rRNA from 1 species